UACGUAGGGGGCAAGCGUUAUCCGGAAUCAUUGGGCGUAAAGCGCGUGUAGGCGGUCCGGUAAGUCCGCUGUGAAAGUCGGGGGCUCAACCCUCGGAUGCCGGUGGAUACUGUCGGGCUUGAGUACGGAAGAGGCGAGUGGAAUUCCUGGUGUAGCGGUGAAAUGCGCAGAUAUCAGGAGGAACACCAAUUGCGAAGGCAGCUCGCUGGGACGUUACUGACGCUGAGACGCGAAAGCGUGGGGAGCAAACAGG
rnacentral:rRNA from 1 species